AACGGCCAUACCAUGCUGAAUAUACCGUGUUCUCGUUAGAUCACUGAAGUUCAAGCGGUCAGUACUUGGGUGGGUGACCACCUGGGAACACCGCGUGCCGUU